rnacentral:rRNA from 1 species
CUUGUUUGANCCCUGGCUCAGGAUGAAACNCUGNCGNCGUGCUUAAACANAUGNAAGUCGAACGGAACUUNGGGUUAGUGNCGGANGGGGUGAGUAACNCGUGGAAAUCUGNCCCUCAGGAGGGGGAUAACGGUUGGAAACGACCGMWAAUACCCCAUAUGCCGAGAGGUGAAACRAAAUUCGCCUGAGGAUGAGCCCGCGUCUGAUUAGCUAGUUGGUGGGGUAAAGGCCUACCAAGGCAUCGACCAGUAGCUGGUCUGAGAGGAUGAUCAGCCACACUGGGACUGAGACACGGCCCAGACUCUACGGGAGGCAGCAGUGGGGAAUUUUCCGCAAUGGGCGCAAGCCUGACGGAGCAACGCCGCGUGAGGGAUGAAGGCCUCUGGGCUGUAAACCUCUUUUCUCAAGGAAGAAGAACUGACGGUACUUGAGGAAUAAGCCACGGCUAAUUCCGUGCCAGCAGCCGCGGUAAUACGGGAGUGGCAAGCGUUAUCCGGAAUUAUUGGGCGUAAAGCGUCCGCAGGCGGCCUUGAAAGUCUGUCGUUAAAGCGUGGAGCUUAACUCCAUUUCGGCGGUGGAAACUACAAGGCUUGAGUGUGGUAGGGGCAGAGGGAAUUCCCGGUGUAGCGGUGAAAUGCGUAGAUAUCGGGAAGAACACCAGUGGCGAAGGCGCUCUGCUGGGCCAUAACUGACGCUCAUGGACGAAAGCUAGGGGAGCGAAAGGGAUUAGAUACCCCUGUAGUCCUAGCCGUAAACGAUGAACACUAGGUGUUGCGGGU